AGAACGAACGCUGGCGGCAGGCUUAACACAUGCAAGUCGAACGCUCGUAGCAAUACGGGAGUGGCAGACGGGUGAGUAACGCGUGGGAACAUACCCUCCGGUUCGGAAUAGCUCAGGGAAACUUGGAUUAAUACCGGAUACGGCCGAGAGGCGAAAGAUUUAUCGCUGAAGGAUCGGCCCGCGUCUGAUUAGCUAGUUGGUGAGGUAAUGGCUCACCAAGGCUACGAUCAGUAGCUGGUCUGAGAGGAUGAUCAGCCUCACUGGGACUGAGACACGGCCCAGACUCCUACGGGAGGCAGCAGUGGGGAAUAUUGGACAAUGGGCGCAAGCCUGAUCCAGCCAUGCCGCGUGGAUGAUGAAGGCCUUAGGGUUGUAAAGUCCUUUCGGCGGGGAAGAUAAUGACGGUACCCGCAGAAGAGCCCCGGCUAACUUCGUGCCAGCAGCCGC
rnacentral:rRNA from 1 species